GACCUGGGAGUGGGAAAGGAAACAGCUGAGACCUCUGCCAGAGAUCCAGCAUCCUCUGCAGGAUUGCCAGCAGCAACCAGUGUGACCAGGAAUGAAACAUCUGGGAUAAAAUCUCUCCUUUCUCUUGGUUGUGUAAAAUCCAUCCUGUGCAACAUGACAUUGGUGUUACAGGAAGAUGGUUCCUGGCAGAGCUGACAGAUUCCUUUCUGUUCCACACUCUCUGCCUUAUCUCAACCCAAUUUUACUAAAUCAGAACCAUUUCUGAGGAAACCUCCCCAGUCAGGCAAGCAAUAGGUGAGGCAAAUGAGGAAUGAAAAGGAAAAAUAAGGAAAA